AUUGAACGCUGGCGGCAGGCCUAACACAUGCAAGUCGAACGAGUGGCGGACGGGUGAGUAAUGUCUGGGAAACUGCCUGAUGGAGGGGGAUAACUACUGGAAACGGUAGCUAAUACCGCAUACCAUCGGAUGUGCCCAGAUGGGAUUAGCUAGUAGGUGGGGUAAAGGCUCACCUAGGCGACGAUCCCUAGCUGGUCUGAGAGGAUGACCGUGCACCAUGGAACGUAGAGCCGGUCCAGACUCCUACGGGAGGCAGCAGUGGGGAAGCGUGCACAAUGGGCGCAAGCCUGAUGCAGCCAUGCGGCGUGUACGGAGAGGGCCGUGGGGUUGUAACGUACUUUCAGCGGGGAGGCGUUAUCGGCAGAGGAAGCGCCGGCUAAGUCCGUGCCAGCAGCCGCGGUAAUUC
rnacentral:rRNA from 1 species